rnacentral:rRNA from 1 species
GAUGAACGCUGGCGGCGUGCCUAAUACAUGCAAGUCGAGCGAACGGACAAGAAGCUUGCUUCUCUGAUGUUAGCGGCGGACGGGUGAGUAACACGUGGAUAACCUACCUAUAAGACUGGGAUAACUUCGGGAAACCGGAGCUAAUACCGGAUGAUAUUUUGAACCGCAUGGUUCAAAAGUGAAAGACGGUCUUGCUGUCACUUAUAGAUGGAUCCGCGCUGCAUUAUCUAGUUGGUAAGGUAACGGCUUACCAAGGCAACGAUGCAUAGCCGACCUGAGAGGAUGAUCGGCCACACUGGAAAUGAGACACGGUCCAGACUCCUACGGGAGGCAGCAGUGGGGAAUCUUCCGCAAUGGGCGAAAGCCUGACGGAGCAACGCCGCGUGGGUGAUGAAGGUCUUCGGAUCGUAAAACUCUGUUAUUAGGGAAGAACAUAUGUGUAAGUAACUGUGCACAUCUUGACGGGACCUAAUCAGAAAGCCACGGCUAACUACGU